rfam:Wallemia ichthyophaga EXF-994 unplaced genomic scaffold scaffold5, whole genome shotgun sequence.
GGUGAGGUCGGAUAGUGGUUAUUCCGUUGAUUUCAAGCAAAGAGCUUUCCAAUUAGAUUGGGACUGUCAAUGCUUUAUGCAUCCUGGGUUCGAAUCCCAGUCUCACCA